CCGAGUUUACAACUCCCAAACCCCUUGUGAACAUACCUAUUGUUGCCUCGGCGGUGCCUGUUCCGACAGCCCGCCAGAGGACCCAAACCCUUGAAUACAUUAAAGAAUUUCUUCUGAGUAACCGAUUAAAUAAAUCA
rnacentral:misc_RNA from 1 species